rnacentral:rRNA from 1 species
AACGAACGCUGGCGGCAGGCUUAACACAUGCGAGUCGAGCGCCCCGCAAGGGGAGCGGCAGACGGGUGAGUAACGCGCGGGAAUCUACCCAUCUCUACGGAAUAACGCAUGGAAACGUGUGCUAAUACCGUAUACGUCCUUCGGGAGAAAGAUUUAUCGGAGAUGGAUGAGCCCGCGUUGGAUUAGCUAGUUGGUGGGGUAAAGGCCUACCAAGGCGACGAUCCAUAGCUGGUCUGAGAGGAUGAUCAGCCACACUGGGACUGAGACACGGCCCAGACUCCUACGGGAGGCAGCAGUGGGGAAUAUUGGACAAUGGGCGCAAGCCUGAUCCAGCCAUGCCGCGUGAGUGAUGAAGGCCCUAGGGUUGUAAAGCUCUUUCACCGGUGAAGAUAAUGACGGUAACCGGAGAAGAAGCCCCGGCUAACUUCGUGCCAGCAGCCGCAGUAACAC